CGGAAUUACACUAUAUAUAAGCUGGCCGAAUGUUGUAUAACAUUCGGCCAGCUUUGAACAAUCUGGAGUGUUUUCAAGAUUUAUUAUGUUCAUAUGCCAUAUCAAUUUCGGUGUGACACAGUGUUCUUUUGGUAUCACCAUUAAAAUGUCAUAGUUAGAUUAGUCACAUCUUCCUAUCUUGCAAAAAGGGUUCUGCUUAGUAGACGUUGGUUUCAAAAGAAUUGUGACUUGUGUGAAAUUUAGGAAUUCAGUGAUUCAUUAGAUAAAAAAAAAAAAUCGAACUCCGAAACGCUAUAUGAAUGAAUCAUGAAACAAAUAAAUGGACAGUAGAUGAACUGUUUUUCUUGUUUGACUAGUGAUUCAGAGUUCUGACCAUGGCACACAAAAAAAGAAUGAUUGAUGGUAAUUGAUUUAACUUGGGGACCAGCCAUUAAAUGUACAUUUUUUCCACAGAGAAAUGAUUAACAGAGUGGAAAAAAAGGGAGCAGUAAAAAAAUGCAGCACCUCGCACUCAUAAAAAUAUAAAUAUUGGACCUGGAGAUGAAUUUUUGUCUGAACUACAAUUUCAGUAGAUAGGGUGUUCAGCCGAAUGUUCGAAUUCCGAGCCGAAAUAUGCCUGAAUACCGAAUCAACCAAUUAGCACAUUUGGAAAGUGGUUUGGUUGAUUUGAAGUCUGAAAUUCCAUUCGCUAUGCCUACUGCUAGUAGCAACUGCCACUUACACCAACUCUGAAUAACUAAUUUGCAUUUUUUUUUAAAUUUUUUUAAUUUUUUUUUAGCUCUGUACAA